CUUUCUUAGAUGGUUCUGGGUCUGAAUAACUCAAAUAUUUGUGUGUUGUCAUCAGCUUCAUCUCUUGUGUACCACGAGUUAGGAGUUAAAUAACAGCACUAAAUAG
rfam:Medicago truncatula strain A17 chromosome 4, whole genome shotgun sequence.